UACGAAGGGGGCCAGCGUUGUUCGGAAUCACUGGGCGUAAAGCGCACGUAGGCGGAUCGUUAAGUCGGGGGUGAAAUCCCAGGGCUCAACCCUGGAACUGCCUUCGAUACUGGCGAUCUUCGAGUCCGGGAGAGGUGAGUGGAACUCCGAGUGUAGAGGUGAAAUUCGUAGAUAUUCGGAAGAACACCAGUGGCGAAGGCGGCUCACUGGCCCGGUACUGACGCUGAGGUGCGAAAGCGUGGGGAGCAAACAGG
rnacentral:rRNA from 1 species